UAGGAGACGUUGAAUACAAAACACCACCAUCGGUUGCGGUCGUCCUUGGCGUCUCGGUUUCGGCCGGGGCGCGGGGAUGGCUUAGCCCGGUGGCACCGGUGAAUGACUCC
rnacentral:rRNA from 1 species